CUUAUUUCCACAUAGACCAUUAAAGUUCGUAUAAAUUUUCAUAAAAUAGCAAAGAUUGUGCUGAGGUCAUCUCAACUCAAGAUGGUCUCCCAUGUUCCUUUCAACAAAAAGCAACCAAAAGCCACGUUAGAAAGCAAAGUCAAGAAAGAGGUCAACCACCAAGAGACAUGUAAAGUAGUGGGAAAAAACCUUGGUGUCGAUUGUCAUUAAACGAAAUAUUCUAAGUCAUCUCGCAUAUGAACAUUGUCUUUUGUACACUUAAAGAUUUUGAGCAUAGUAAUUUUGUCAUUUGUCAGUUUUCGUCUCUUUGACACUUUUGUUUUAGUUUAUUACCAUCUCACUUAUAGGUUUUGCCUGCUUUCAUUCUUCCUCCGUUAAUGGGAGAUAAGCGUCUUCAAUCCUUGCUCUGCAUCAUCAAUUAACCGAUUGUCGUUCGUAUCUCACUUCGUCUUUCUCUUACUUUCUAAUUCCUUCUGCGUUUCUUCUUCGUUUCCACUAAUUUUGGGGUUUCAAUUCACGCAAGGGUUUCAGGUCACACAACAACGGAAGCCACUCUCGCAUUCAACAAUCGACUUCGGCCAAUUUCGAUUACGGAGUUGGGUAUGUUAUUUGUAUUUUGUACCUGUCUAUAGUUGUUGCUUUCGUUCUUGGAAGCAGUUGUCCGUUUGGAUUUUGGGUUAGUCGUUUUUUUAUUUUCAAUUUUUGUUGCAACUGUUGUUUGCUUUGUAUUGGCAUAAUGCUUCCCAGUAAGCGUAAGAGGGGCUCCACUUGUGUUGCGACAAGGGCUCGUCGUGACAUAAAACACAUCUUUUUGGGCUAUGAUCUGUCAAUUUCUUUUGAUAUAAAUGACUUACCAGGGGACUAGGUAGUGGAGAAUCGAGGUUAGAGAGAUCAAGUGCUCGUUAGGUUUGGGGUUUAUUGAAGGUUAAUUUGGGGAUUUCCAAAAGGUUUUGCUCAUCACUUUGCCAAAUGCACCAGCAGGUAUGUAUUAGUACUAUCUAGAGUAGUUUAUAUAGGUAUAUUAAUCUACCAAAUAGAAAUUUUAGAUAUUAUGUCCUGAAAAAAAGGUGAAAACUAACAUCCAAGUUUGUUUAAUUUGUUAUGGAGAAUCUUGAAGGGAACUUGAAUGGUGGCUUUUGAUGUACUUUGAUAUGGCUUUAUUUAACUAUGUAUUUUAGACCAUUGUCCUAAUAUAUUUGAGUAAAAGUGUUAUAUUUUAAUAUAUAUGACAAUUAAAAUCAAAGCUGUGAUGCAA